AUGGGCAAUGAGAUGGGCAACAACAACGUUAUCGGUCAACAAGUACCAGAGGAGAGUGCUAAGGAUUUCGACAAAACCAUGGCCAACGCAGAUUAUUCACAUGAGCUCAGCAACAUAAAUGGUGAGAAAGAUACGGAGAAGGAUGUCACUAAGGAUGUAGAUAUGUCAGAGGUAUUAAAGGUCCCCCUCAUCUCUAGUGGUGGAGAUAAGCAUAUGGCUUCAGAUCAAACAAAAUUGUCGGCAGCGAAUGAAGACUUAGAUGGGAAGAAUAGGGGUUCACCUCAGGAUCACGCAUCAACAGAAGAUGAUGAUGGGAAUAAUUACUUACCUACAGAACAAAAUAAGGAGAAGGAUGGCGCUAAGGAUUUGGAUAUGUCAGAGGUGCUAAAGGCCCCUGUCAUUUCUAAUGGUGGAGAUGAUCAAAUGGCUUCAGAUCAAACAAAAAUCUCUGCUGCAAAUGAAGACUUAGAUGAGAAGAACAGGGGCUCACUUGAGGAUCAUACAUCAACACAAGAUGAUGGAAACCGUAACUUAUCUACAGAACAAGGUGAUGAAACACAGGAGGACAGUGGAACUGAAACAGCCACAAAUUCUGCAGAAACAGUUGCCCAUGUCGGCACCACAACUGAAGAUAUAACAAGCAACAAGGAUACUUCAUCAGCUAAUGAGCAAUUCACACAACUUGAACACGAAACUACAGAGAAAAAUGAAGAAAAUACCACUGCAAAUCCCGCCAUGUUGUUAGAGGAAAGCAUUGAAGGUCUGCCAGAAGACGAGGAGGAAUCUUGUAGUCAAGAAGUUGCAGGGGCGAGUGAUAAUCUAGUUGGAGGAGAUACAGUUGAAAACCUAGAAGGACAAACCGGAGUGUCAACAGUGGUGGGUGAUAAUCUAGUUGGAGAGACUACAUCAUCAACUGAAUCAAUUAUCAGUGGUUAUCUUGCUGACGAGAGUAAGGAGGUUGUCGUCGAAGAUGAGCCUAGAGAAAGAGAAAAUUCGUCAUAUGUAAAACCAGAAGGCGACACCAACCAAGAAACAUUCAAGAAUGAAGAGAAGCAAGAAAUCUGUGAGAUAGGCAAAAACAAUACCUGCAAAACUAUAACAGAAGAUACUGUGGUUGAAAGCGCUGAAGUGCUAGAAGAAGACAAGAAGAUCCAAGGAUUGGAAAAUCAGGAGGAAGAAUUCCCCAAAUGUAAUAAAUAUGGUGCUCCCGAUAUUGUUGAAGCCGUUUCCCAGUUUCAGUCAACUUUAGCACACCCCAGUGCAGCAAGUGGCAAAGAAUUUCAGAAACAUGAACUGAGUAUAGCAGAACAGAUGUUAGAUUCUGUAAGUGUAGCAAUGGAGCACAAUGUAAUUAAAACAGCAGAGAAAGAGCAAGGGGGAAUUAUUGAAAGGGAUGUUGCAGACAAGAAUGAAGAAGAUAAUUUUGAAGGGGAUCAGAAAUCUGAUGGUAUGUCAGAGGUGUUAAAGGACCCUAUCAUUUCUAAUGGUGGAAAUGAUCAAAUAGCUUCAGAUCAAACAAAAAUCUCUGCUGCAAAUGAAGACUUAGAUGAGAAGAACAGGGACUCACUUCAGGAUCAUACAUCAAUACAAGAUGAUGAUGGAAAUAGUAACCUACCUACAGAACAAGGUGAUGAAUCACAAGAGGGCAGUGGAACUGAAACAACCACAGAUGGUACAGAAAAAGUUGCCGCUGUCGACACCACUACUGAAGACAUGACAAGUGGCAAUGAUACAUCAUUAUCUGAUGAGCAAUUCAAACAAGUUGUACACGAAAUGACAGAGACAAGUGAAGAAAGUACCAUACCAAAUCCCCUCACAUUGUUAGAGGGAAUUAUUGAAAGUGCGCCACAAGAUGGGGAGGAAUAUUGCAGUCAAGAAGCUGCAGUGGUGGAUGAUAAUCUAGUUGGAGAAGAUACAGUUGAAAGCCUAGAAGAAAGACAAACUGGAGUGUCAGCAGUAGAGGAUCUAUGGACACCAUCCUCGGUACAAGGAGCGACUACAUCAUCAACUGAAUCAAUUAUCACUGAUCAUCUUGAUGAUGAGACUAAGGAGGUUGUCCUCGAAGAUGAGCCUAGAGAAAGAGAAAAUUCAUCACAUGUACGACCAGAAGAUGACACCAACCAAGAAACAUCCAAGAAAGAAGAGAAGCAAGAAAUCUGUGAAAUGGGCAACAACAAUUCCUGCAAAACCAUAACAGUAGAUACUGUGAUUGAAAAUGAUGAGGUGCUAGAAGAAGACGAGAAGAUCCAAGGAUUGGAAAAUCAGCAGGAAGAAUUUCCCAAAUGUAGCGCAUAUGGUGCUCUCGACAUUGUUGAAGCUGUUUCCCAAUUUCAGUCAGCUUUAGCAGAUCCCAGUGCAACAAAUAGCAAAGAACUUCAGAAACAUGAACUGAGUAUAGCAGAACAGAUGUCAGAUUCUGUAAGUGCAGCAAUGGAGCACAAUGUAAUUGAAACAGCAGAGAAAGAGCAAGGGGGAAUUGUCAACAAAGAUGUUGCAGACAAGAAUGAAGAAGAUAAUUUUGAAGGGGAUAAGAAAUCUGAUGGUAUCCAUGACUCUCUUGGUCUUGCCAAGGUCCACGGAGAAGAUUUUACAGGUUUAGGCCCACCAUUAUCUGGCCCUCUUCCUAUUUUGAAUGAAGAAAAGGUACAUGAAGAAGUCAUCAUAGAAGAAUUAGCUGCACCAAUGACUGCAACAUCACAUGCUCUUCAACCAGUAGAAGAUUUUGUCAAGGAAGAUAUUAAACCUGAUAGUUCGGAUAGUAAUGAAGGAGCCACCACCUCCACAUGUGAAGCAAAGGCUAUAGAUACACAAGAAACCAUGAACAGCUCACAGUGUGAUCAGCCUCAACCGUUACUGCUUGAAGAACCUGAAGUUGUCAAGUUUGAAAACAGUGAGACUCUGAGCACCUGCAUGAAGCCGGUGGAAUGCAGUUCAGCGACAGACUUGAUCUUCCCUAAUUUAUUCAACAAGGAGAGACAAGGCACAUCUGAUAAAGCCACAUGUUUUACUUCUGAAUCCAAUCAGGAGAAAGUCACAGGGACUGUAGGCUUUGCUGUUGAAUCGGAACAGAAGAAAGUUAUUGCAAAUGCUGAUGAUUCUAGUGAGGAACAGUGUCUGCUUCAGAAACCAACUCUAGGGACAGAUGUGGGUGAAGAGACUCCAUUACUUCUGAGUACAGAAAGCAUCAACUCUUUAAGUUAUUCUAGUGAACAGCACAGCAAAGUAGUCAAGGACAUCCCCAUGACCAACAUCACUCUGAUGCAAGCCAAAGAUGAAGCUGUGGAAGAAUCUGAGAAGAGUCCACUGUUGAGCCCUAGGGAGCAAUCAGAAGGAGCCUUCAGAGCGCCAAAUCACUCUGCAAGAAACAAUAAACCACUUUGUAGCUUAAUGACGGAGGACGGCGUUGGAACGUGGUCACCAUUGAAGGAACAAGAACCGGUUCAAAAGAACAGCACCACGGUUAGUUCUCCUAGAAGCAAAGAAAAGCAGAAGCCAAAGUCAUCCCUUUUUGCCAUUUGCAUGUGUUGCACUACAGCUACGGACUGA
rnacentral:rRNA from 1 species